rnacentral:rRNA from 1 species
UACGUGAGGGGCAAGCGUUGUCCGGAAUCAUUGGGCGUAAAGCGCGUGUAGGCGGCCAGGUAAGUCCGUUCUGAAAGCCCGGGGCUCAACCCCGGGAGGCGGAUGGAUACUGCUUGGCUCGAGUCCGGAAGAGGAGUGUGGAAUUCCUGGUGUAGCGGUGAAAUGCGCAGAUAUCAGGAGGAACACCAAUGGCGAAGGCAGCACUCUGGGACGGUACUGACGCUGAGACGCGAAAGCGUGGGGAGCAAACAGG